rnacentral:piRNA from 1 species
UCCCUGAGCUGCAAAAUGGGGU